rnacentral:rRNA from 1 species
UGAUCGUGGCUCAGGACGAACGCUGGCGGCGUGCCUAAUACAUGCAAGUCGAGCGCAGGAAAUCGACGGAACCCUUCGGGGGGAAGUCGACGGAAUGAGCGGCGGACGGGUGAGUAACACGUAAAGAACCUGCCCUCAGGUCUGGGAUAACCACGAGAAAUCGGGGCUAAUACCGGAUGGGUCAUCGGACCGCAUGGUCCGAGGAUGAAAGGCGCUUCGGCGUCGCCUGGGGAUGGCUUUGCGGUGCAUUAGCUAGUUGGUGGGGUAAUGGCCCACCAAGGCGACGAUGCAUAGCCGACCUGAGAGGGUGAUCGGCCACACUGGGACUGAGACACGGCCCAGACUCCUACGGGAGGCAGCAGUAGGGAAUCUUCCACAAUGGACGAAAGUCUGAUGGAGCAACGCCGCGUGAACGAUGAAGGCCUUCGGGUCGUAAAGUUCUGUUGUAAGGGAAGAACAAGUGCCGCAGGCAAUGGCGGCACCUUGACGGUACCUUGCGAGAAAGCCACGGCUAACUACGUGCCAGCAGCCGCGGUAAUACGUAGGUGGCAAGCGUUGUCCGGAAUUAUUGGGCGUAAAGCGCGCGCAGGCGGNCCUCUUANGUCUGAUGUGAAAGCCCCCGGCUCANCCGGGGAAGGNCCAUUGAAAACUGGGAGGCUUGAGUC